UUAACGUCAACCCCUACCCUAAACCUAACCCUCACUGUAAUGUAAAAAUAUUCAUUAUUGUUAUGCAUUGUCUCAAAAAAGAUGCUGUAUUGAUAUGUCCGCAGCUGUAUCCCUUCUAGAUUUUACCCCCCACCCCAUGUUGCACAUUUUAUAUGUUUCUCUUUUCACACCAUGAUUUAUAUAUGUUUGAUUUAAAUGGCCUUUUAGUGCGUGAUAUGUGAAUGUAAACGUCGCGUCACACCACAUCUGUGACAAUAUGACAUUCUGACAUAUCAACUUCUAGAUGGGUAAGUGAAACUUCAUUUACUACAUUUAUUUUUGUUGAUAAUAGCUGAAUUUUGUAAGUUACUCAAUGAAAAGAAACUUUGCUAUGUCGAAGGAGUAGUUCAUCCAAAAAUGAUUUACUCAUCUCAAAUGGUUCAAAACCUGUAAAUAUUAGUUUCUUUCUCGUGUCGAACGCUGAUGAAGGUAUUCUGAAGACAUCUGAUAACCUGUUGACUUUCAUAGUAGGAGAAACAAAUACUGUGAAAGUUACAUGGCUACAGGUUUCCAGCUUUGAUCAAAAAAUGUUUGUGUUUACGGACAAAAAAAAGGCAAAGAGGUUAAGAACAAGUGGAGGUAUCUCAGUGGAGGAACAAUCGCCUUUCACUAUCAUAUGACGGAGAACAGAGUGUCUAAAGCCAUCAAGCACACAUUUCCUGCAGUCUAGAGGAGUGUAUCUAGUCCAUAUUGGAGAGUAUGGACAGUCAAGUGAUGGGGUCUUUGCUGGCUCACCCAUAGCACAGGCAUCGGAUGCAAAAAAGUUGGAGGUUCCAGAUGAUCAGCAGAUACAGUUUCAGGAGCAGAGAAUCUGGGGAACGCAGCUCAUGCGGCUUUACCCUGGUCGGGAUCGGGUCAACACAACCAUGCAGCAAGUGUGGUGGAAAAUAGCCUUGGCUGUUUAUCAUCUCACUGGAGGAUCCUGCAGAUUAGGAUCAACAUACAUUGUGACUAAAUAAAGAUUUUUUUUUUUUAUGUACA